CAGUCGCCGCGGGAAUACGGAGGGUGCAAGCGUUAAUCGGAAUUACUGGGCGUAAAGCGCACGCAGGCGGUCUGACAAGUCAGAUGUGAAUUCCCCGGGCUUAACCUGGGAACUGCAUUUGAAACUGUCAGGCUGGAGUCUUGUAGAGGGGGGUGGAAUUCCAGGUGUAGCGGUGAAAUGCGUAGAGAUCUGGAGGAAUACCGGUGGCGAAGGCGGCCCCCUGGACAAAGACUGACGCUCAGGUGCGAAAGCGUGGGGAGCAAACAGGAUUAGAUACCCCUGUAGUCCCUGUCUCUUAUAC
rnacentral:rRNA from 1 species